rnacentral:lncRNA from 1 species
GGAGUCCCGUAACUGUAUCUUGCGCACAAAGGCGGACUGGGUUCAGCAGCGAACCCCACCAGAGCACACCGAUCCCGAUGGCGCGGAAGGUGCUCUGCUAGCGGCAACGAAGAUGGAUAUUUAGUGCAAACACUGGGAGACCGACUGCCUCGAACAUUCCAAAGAGGACCCUUCAGUGGGCAGAGUAGGUGGGCGAGGCUUCUGCUGCUGAAGGCAGCUUCCGUUUGCCCUUCCGUUUGCCUCUCUCCCGGAUGCUUCUCCUCCUGUUUGCGCUUGCGGAAGGGGUGAAGUCAACACCCUUUUGUGUGAAAUGUGGGAUAGUUAAACCAUAUCGCAUUCUUAUCCUCGUCUGCACUUUCAGUGGUUCUGCCCUUCUGUGGUGGGCCUUCAGCCUCUCCACCUGGGUGAGGAUAGAAAUCCCAAGUGGCUCCCAAGUCCUUUUCAGUGCUCUUUUUGCAAUAUGCAGUGGUGAGAUCAAGUGUUGGAUUCCACUAUCAAAAUCAAGUAUCUGUGUGUUCCUUGCAUUACUGCUGCACUCUCUGCAUGUUUUGAAAGUAACCAACUUAUGCAAGGAUGCGAAAAUCACCUUUCUCUACCCUACUUUCAUCCUUUCAUUCAGCGCCAUACUAUUUUUCUUAUCUGGAAUCCUCUGCUUAUUCAGCUCCCAUCAUUGUUGGCUUCAGUGCGUCUUACAGCAACCAAUCCAAGUGAAACCUAUGCAAAUGUCAGUGGUCAGUGGGAACUCAGCAAUGGUCACAGAAAGGACACCGGGUAGAGAUGGCUAGCCUAACCUCAGUGGUGGUGAGAAAGCUGAUUUUAGAAGAAACAUGUCUCACCUGUAAUUCAAGAUUUCACAGCUAUACACACACUCUUAUUUAAUUACUGCAUAAGACUGGAAAGAGUUGGCUGGUUACUAAUCAUUGUUCAAGAUAUGGCUUAGGAUUCCGGGGACUUAGAUAUUCAUAAGAGAGAAAACACAGUUGGGGUGUGGGGAAAGUUGAGUGUUUGGCUCUUGGGGACUUGAAAUGAAAAAAACUUCUCUUCACCUUGAAGAUUCUUCUCUUGGCACCCAUUUCCCAACCCUCUUGCUGGUAUGCCUGGUCUCCUGGCAGUGGUUUUUUUUAGCAGUAACAAAACUCUCUCUCCACUAUAAAGCCUGAGUUUGAUAAAAACAAAUUUUUUUUCUGCUCUCUGGGAAUUUCAUGAGUGGAAUCUUUUCACUACUGUGUUAUUCGGGACUCUUUUUUUUUUUUUUUUUGCAUGUAACAAACCUUAUCCAAACUACCUUCAACAAAAAUUGAAUUUAUUGGAUGCAGGGGUUACCUCAUAGACUCAAAAAAAGUUCUGGUAGAAUCAGGGCUACAUGAGAGAGUUGGGGAGCUGGAAUCUUGAGAUCAUUUCCUCAGGAUACUAUUUUUUUAAACUAUCCACUGAAGGUUAAUGGAAUUUCUCAAUCCUUAAAAUGGAAGCACUAUCCUAAAUUCCUCUUGCUCAUCACUUUCAAUGAAUCACCAAAGCUUGUCCUUUCCACCUCAACAAGACUUCCGUUCCCCUCCCUGAGCCCUCCUCACUGGUCAUCGUGACCAGGUCUUUGUCAUCCCUGCCCAGACUGUGUCGUCUCUGAAUGUGGCUUGUCCCCCACUGUGGCCUACCUCUGCGAAGCUGCCCAGCUCGAGCUUCCUAAAAUACAGAGAUGAGAAUGUGCUCCUUAAAAGCCUAUUUUGCCUUCUUCUGGCCUUCAGGAUAAAUUCCUUAUCUUGAUAAAUAAAGUUAUUUACAAGUUGGCAUCAACC